GACUUCCGCUUCACCUCGCUAUCUUGCCCUAGAAAGGGAACUCGGAGGGGACUCACUGACGAAAGGAGCUCCAGAUGGCGGGGGGCCAACCUGGGGCGACCCCCAGCGCCCACUUUCACCAUCUGGACCCCAGCAAACCUCCCUGUGGCCCUUGGUCCCGUCUUCAGCAGCUCCUUCUGGGGUCCCACACCUUCGGAGCCCGGCCCUGCCCCUGAGUCUCUGGAGAGAGCGAGUCAGCAGUUCGCCGCCGCGGGGCUCCCGUUUGCCUAGCACGCCAGUUUCUGUCCAGUUUCACCCCAAAUCCCCACCUCCCCCCACCCCCGAACCUCACGGCCACCCUGGGAAGGAGGCUUGACUUGUGACAUCCACCCCUCUUCACGGCUGAGGAACUUUGGCCCCGAGCGAGGAAGCGACCGGCCCACGGCCACACGCCCGGAGUGGGUAAAUAUCUACUCAUGGGAUUGCUGGGCUGUAUGGGGGCAGCAUCUUCUACUAUGUGCAUCUACAUUGGAUGGCAGUGGAGCAACACAGAUUGUUUUCUGACAAAAAUCAGCCAAGUACUAGGAGAGGCAGGACUUUAGAAGUGGAGGAGAUGGAGAAGGAAGCUUAGGUUACUAUGGAGUGUGCAAAAAGGUCCUGUGGAUUUAGAUACCACCACACACAAAUGCUGUUGUUGGAAGGUACCUGCCCAGAUAAGGACUGCAUUUCCUCUAGCAUCCAGAUGGGACCAAAUGACUGCUGGCCAAUAGAAGUGAGUGGAAAGGACUGACUCCAGUUCCAGGUUGGGCCUCCAACUGCUCUGGGCACGUCGAUGGAACAGAACACCACCUCCACCCCAAUACCACCAAUUCAACUUUACAUGAAUUAUAAGCGAGAAAUAACUUGGACUGUGUUAAGUCAUUGAGUUUCUGGGGUUUAACUGUUAUUAUAGUUAAGAAUGACUUUAACUAAUAUAGUCAAUGACAUCUAAAAAAAAAAA
rnacentral:lncRNA from 1 species